rnacentral:rRNA from 1 species
GACGAACGCUGGCGGCGUGCUUAACACAUGCAAGUCGAACGAAGAGCGAUGGAAGCUUGCUUCUAUCAAUCUUAGUGGCGAACGGGUGAGUAACGCGCAAUCAACCUGCCCUUCAGAGGGGGACAACAGUUGGAAACGACUGCUAAUACCGCAUACGAUCUAAUCUCGGCAUCGAGGAUAGAUGAAAGGUGGCCUCUACAUGUAAGCUAUCACUGAAGGAGGGGAUUGCGUCUGAUUAGCUAGUUGGAGGGGUAACGGCCCACCAAGGCGAUGAUCAGUAGCCGGUCUGAGAGGAUGAACGGCCACAUUGGGACUGAGACACGGCCCAGACUCCUACGGGAGGCAGCAGUGGGGAAUCUUCCGCAAUGGACGAAAGUCUGACGGAGCAACGCCGCGUGAGUGAUGACGGCCUUCGGGUUGUAAAGCUCUGUUAAUCGGGACGAAAGGCCUUCUUGCGAAUAGUGAGAAGGAUUGACGGUACCGGAAUAGAAAGCCACGGCUAACUACGUG